GGUUGGCUCCUUCCUGAUGUUCUGGGGGAGAAUCUGUCCCAGGCCUCUCUCCCAGUUUCUUGUGGCUGCCAGCAUCCUUGGUGUCCCUUGGCAUGUAGAUGCAUCACCCCAGUCUCUGCCUGCACCUUCCAUGGUGCUUUCCCCUGUGUUUAUCUCUGUCUCCUCUCCUUGUAAGGACACCAGGCAUGCAGGCAUACUGGAUUAAGGCUCACCCUAAUCCUGUGUGACCUUGUCUUAAUUCGUCUACAUCUGCAAAGACCCUAUUUCCAAAUAAGGUCAAAUUCACAAGCACUGGGGGUCAGGACUUUGAUGUAUGUUUUGAGCGAACACAGUUUAACCCAUAACACUUUCUUCCCUUCUGCUUUAGACAACAGCCCGGAGACGCGGGCUAAAGUGAAGUUUGUCCAGGACACUUCUAAGUAUUGGUACAAGCCUGAGAUUUCCAGGGAGCAGGCCAUCGCGCUCCUCAAGGACCAGGAGCCAGGGGCCUUCAUCAUCCGCGACAGUCACUCCUUCCGAGGCGCCUACGGGCUGGCCAUGAAGGUGUCUUCGCCACCUCCAA
rnacentral:sRNA from 1 species